ACACUUUAUUUUAAGGAACACAAAUUAGGCGCUUAUUAAUGUCUUAUUAUUUGCUUAACAAAGCCAAAAUUAGACAUUUAUAAAUGAUUUAUUCACUACUUAUUUGGCUUCAUUCUGUGUAAGUGUUAUUGGUGCUUAAUUAGUGGUCUGUUAUGUAGAAAUGAUUAAUAAUGGCUGUAUUAGUUCUUAAUUAGUUCAGAAUAAACGGCUUGUACUCUUGGGAAUAAUUUGAUAUAUCUUAAUAAUUCUAUAUAUUUAGGAAUAAUUUAGAAUAUUUGGGAAUAAUUUGAUAUAUUUGGAACAAUUUAGUAUAUUUAGGAAUUAUUUGGUAUAUUUGUUUACUUUCUGGUGCUAUGUAACUAAUAUCCUUUUGAAACAUAAUAAAUGGCAAUAUAUUGGAAAAUAUAGUGCAAUAUAUUAAAUAAUAAGUUUUCAUAUAUGGAAAAAAGGACAUCUAUUGUUUAAUAUAUGACAAUUUAUGCAUGGACCAUUUAUGUCUAUAUAUUGGUAAAUAUAAAAACAUACCACAAUAAAGACAAAAUCUCUAAAGUGCUAAACUGCAAUAUUUUUUUUAGACCAAAUGCUUUUUUUGUAUUUAUUAGUGUCUUUCUUAGUUAAGCAUUUCACAAAAGAGACAAAAGCGUACCAUGGUUUAAAAUACAUCCUGAAUGUGCCAAUAAAGGUCCACAGUUACAAACCCAAUAAACAAAAUACAUUUACAUUUAUAUCAUCUACAAUUACUUAAAUAAAGCUGUCAUAUUCAUGUUUGCAUAUUAAAAAUUUUAAUGUAACAAAGAUUGACAACAAGUUAUUACAUUUUUUUUUGCCCAAAUGCUACAUACAUUACACAGACCUAGCCCAAAAUCUUAUAUUUAGGUGUAUUACACUUAUACAGUCUAUUAAUUUUACUUUGUGAUUUAUCAUUAAUUUUGUGUAUAAGGGCAUAUGAAUAUUAUUAUAUUACAUUAUAUUUGAUUUUUAUUAUAUUGCUAAUAAUGUAUUACAUUUUUAAAAUCAUUUUAAAUAAUUGCAAGAAAAAAAAGCAUUAGCUAUGGUCAGUGUGAGUGAAUCACCACAUACAACAGUUCCUGUAAAUGUGCUGUGUCUCAGUUGUAACCUGCUGAAAAUACCCUCCCUCUCCUUAAAUCAUAAUUGUUACAUUUUCAGUUUGAAGAUUGAGCAAAAAUGUACCCGUGGUUUUCAGACAAGCCAAAUUUGGCAGGAUAAUGGCGAACCUGGCAACUCUGGGGAAAAGCGUUCUGUGAUUGGACUGCAAGAGCAGAAGAUUUAGACAAACAAGUAUCAGCAGUUACAGCGCGAUAGGGCGGGACUAUGCUUUGGAUGAUGUUCGGAGAAAAGACGCUAAAAUUGGCUCUCAGUUUGAAUGAACUGAAUGAAUAUACAGGUUAUGGUUUGCCCUCGUUUCUUGGACAGAGGGACCAAUGCAGUGAGCACUGUGUCAACCAGCUGGAUAACUGACUCUGACCCAACAGAAACCUCCCCGCAGUCCUUAUAAAGUUAUCUGGCAAGGUGAAACUGGGGAAGGAAGGCACCAUCACUGUCUCAGCCCGUUGUUGGAAGACUGCAAAAGCACAAGCUACAGCCAGUGGGACGGCAGGAGUGCUACUGAUGGAACUCUUUAAUGUUGAUGUUUUUCUGAACCUUUAUCUGUUUUUGUAUUAUACAUAUAGUAGUAUAUGGUAGUAUAUAUUCUUGAAUUUAUAGUGAAGUGUAUUGUUAAAUAUAUAAUAAAAUAAAUUGUGAUGUGUGGUAAUAGAUGAUAUGUGUAUUAUUGAUAGUAAUAUAUUAAAAUAUAUUCUUGAAUACAUAGUGAAGUGUAUUGUUCAAAAUAUAAAGUACAAUAUAUAGUACACUGUAAAAUAUGUGGUAAUAAAUGGUACAUAAUAAUUGAUAAGUCAUGUUCAUAUGUUGCCAUUGCUGUUACAGUUACCAUUUUAGCUAUAUUGGUAUCUGCACAUUCGACCAGUCAGUCAGUCAAUCUACAUUUUAAAUUUAACAGUUGAGAGUCUUAAACCAAUAGAAAAUAAAACUGCUUGAAUUCAAAAGAGAAUAAAUGUGCUAAAAUGUG